GAGAGGUGGAGGGGUCUAUAAGGUCUGGUCUUUCUGCAGGUCUGAGAUGUGGAGGGGUCUAUAAGGUCUGGUCUUUCUGCAGGGCUGAGAGGUGGAGGGGUCUAUAUGGUCUGAGAGGUGGAGGGGUCUAUAUGGUCUGGUCUUUCUGCAGGGCUGAGAGGUGGAGGGGUCUAUAAGGUCUGGUCUUUCUGCAGGGCUGAGAUGUGGAGGGGUCUAUAAGGUCUGGUCUUUCUGCAGGGCUGAGAUGUGGAGGGGUCUAUAAGGUCUGGUCUUUCUGCAGGGCUGAGAUGUGGAGGGGUCUAUAAGGUCUGGUCUUUCUGCAGGGCUGAGAUGUGGAGGGGUCUAUAUGGUCUGAGAGGUGGAGGGGUCUAUAAGGUCUGGUCUUUCUGCAGGGCUGAGAGGUGGAGGGGUCUAUAAGGUCUGGUCUUUCUGCAGGGCUGAGAUGUGGAGGGGUCUAUAAGGGCUGGUCUUUCUGCAGGGCUGAGAUGUGGAGGGGUCUAUACGGUCUGGUCUUUCGGCAGGGCUGAGAUGUGGAGGGGUCUAUAUGGUCUGGUCUUUCUGCAGGGCUGAGAGGUGGAGGGGUCUAUAUGGUCUGAGAUGUGGAGGGGUCUAUAAGGUCUGGUCUUUCUGCAGGGCUGAGAUGUGGAGGGGUCUAUAAGGGCUGGUCUUUCGGCAGGGCUGAGAUGUGGAGGGGUCUAUAAGGUCUGGUCUUUCUGCAGGGCUGAGAUGUGGAGGGGUCUAUAAGGUCUGGUCUUUCUGCAGGGCUGAGAUGUGGAGGGGUCUAUAUGGUCUGAGAGGUGGAGGGGUCUAUAUGGUCUGGUCUUUCUGCAGGGCUGAGAUGUGGAGGGGUCUAUAUGGUCUGAGAUGUGGAGGGGUCUAUAAGGUCUGGUCUUUCUGCAGGGCUGAGAGGUGGAGGGGUCUAUAUGGUCUGAGAGGUGGAGGGGUCUAUAUGGUCUGGUCUUUCUGCAGGGCUGAGAUGUGGAGGGGUCUAUAUGGUCUGGUCUUUCUGCAGGGCUGAGAGGUGGAGGGGUCUAUAUGGUCUGAGAUGUGGAGGGGUCUAUAAGGUCUGGUCUUUCUGCAGGGCUGAGAUGUGGAGGGGUCUAUAUGGUCUGAGAUGUGGAGGGGUCUAUAAGGUCUGGUCUUUCUGCAGGGCUGAGAUGUGGAGGGGUCUAUAAGGUCUGGUCUUUCUGCAGGGCUGAGAUGUGGAGGGGUCUAUAAGGUCUGGUCUUUCUGCAGGGCUGAGAUGUGGAGGGGUCUAUAUGGUCUGAGAGGUGGAGGGGUCUAUAAGGUCUGGUCUUUCUGCAGGGCUGAGAUGUGGAGGGGUCUAUAAGGUCUGGUCUUUGUGCAGGGCUGAGAUGUGGAGGGGUCUAUAUGGUCUGAGAGGUGGAGGGGUCUAUAAGGUCUGGU